rnacentral:rRNA from 1 species
UUCCGGUUGAUCCCGCCGGAGGCCACUGCUAUCGGGGUCCGACUAAGCCAUGCGAGUCAAGGGGGUGUCCCUCUGGGACACCACCGGCGGACGGCUCAGUAACACGUCGGUAACCUACCCUCGGGAGGGGGAUAACCCCGGGAAACUGGGGCUAAUCCCCCAUAGGCCUGAGGUACUGGAAGGUCCUCAGGCCGAAAGGGGCUUUUGCCCGCCCGAGGAUGGGCCGGCGGCCGAUUAGGUAGUUGGUGGGGUAACGGCCCACCAAGCCGAAGAUCGGUACGGGCUGUGAGAGCAGGAGCCCGGAGAUGGACACUGAGACACGGGUCCAGGCCCUACGGGGCGCAGCAGGCGCGAAACCUCCGCAAUGCGGGAAACCGCGACGGGGGGACCCCGAGUGCCGUGGCACCGCCACGGCUUUUCCGGAGUGUAAAAAGCUCCGGGAAUAAGGGCUGGGCAAGGCCGGUGGCAGCCGCCGCGGUAAUACCGGCGGCCCGAGUGGUGGCCGCUAUUAUUGGGCCUAAAGCGUCCGUAGCCGGGCCCGUAAGUCCCUGGCGAAAUCCCACGGCUCAACCGUGGGGCUUGCUGGGGAUACUGCGGGCCUUGGGACCGGGAGAGGCGGGGGGUACCCCUGGGGUAGGGUGAAAUCCUAUAAUCCCAGGGGGACCGCCAGUGGCGAAGCGCCCCGCUGGAACGGGUCCGAACGUGAGGGACGAAAGCCAGGGAAGCAAACCGGAUUAGAUACCCGGGUAGUCCUGGCUGUAAGGAUGCGGGCUAGGUGUCGGGUGAGCUUCGAGCUCGCCCGGUGCCGUAGGGAAGCCGUUAAGCCCGCCGCUGGGAGUACGCGCAAGCUGAACUUAAGAUUGCGGGGACACUCAAGGGGGAGC